rnacentral:tRNA from 1 species
UGGUUUGCUGGCAGGGCUGCUCCUGUUCAGCCUGCUGGGCUGGAAUGGCUCUGGUUCGGACUCAAACGGCUCACCC